rnacentral:lncRNA from 1 species
AUAAUGUAACCUGUAGUACUAAUUAAAAAGACACAAAAAUUUGUGAUCUAAUUUAUUAUUUAGAACCUGUAUACUUCUCCAUAUGCAAAAUUUUGCAUUUGGUAGUUUUUUAAUACCAUUGGCUGUACCCCUCUGACAUGUAGCCAAAGGUAGGGUUCAUAAGCCAAUUCAUUUAUAGUCACAAUAGGUAAAAACUGUGACAGCAGACUAAAAUAUUUUCAGAUGUUCCUACACAAAUUAGUUGUUUCCCCCCCCCACCCCCACCCCGAGCUAAAAAAGCUUUAGAAAACACUGGACAGUGAUGAGCCUGUGAAGGCCCUGUGACUCGUGACACAGCACAGCUUCUCAACGUGCUUGUCAACUCUCAAGGCUGCACCCCACCAGUCGGGGAGGCCGGGAGGCCGGGAGAGUAGCUGGCAGCUUCCAGGUUCAGAGGUGACGGUGGUGGAGAGCCAGGACUGCUGCGAGCUGGUGGGAAGCCGCCCUUCUUUAGGUUCCUCAGUAAGCCAGACAGUUCACAACUGAGUGUGUCAGGGGAUCUGUGCAAUUCUCUUUCUUUCCACAGGGUCUCACACCAGACCCCAGGCUAUCCUAGAACUUCCCCUGUAACUUAGGAUAGCCUGGGCUUCCUGGCAACUGUCCUGCCUCAACCUCCAGAGUGCUGGAAUCACGGUCAUGAGCCACCACGCCCAGCUUCAUCUUUCAUUUUUUUCAUAGAGUGUAACCUACCUACCACCAACAUUUUGGUUUAAAUGGAAGAUAAUCCAUUUGUACAGUGUCUUCCUUUAUGAGCAAGGUUUCAAUUUAUCUGAUCAAUGCAAUGACUCAACAGAGGAAGAGUCUGAGAGUAAGGCAGGCCCUGGGCCUGUGGACUCACCCGUGCCACCGAAAGCUGCAAGUUACUCGGACUUUGAAUUAUUCUUUUUAAAUAUAUAGAGAUAUGAAACAGUUGCUACAAAUCUGGAGCAAAUGUGUUCAGGCAAUGGUUAUUUCAGAAAGAAUAAUUUACUUCUCAAGUCACCUGCGAGGCAGUGACAGCAAGACCCACUGGGUGAGUCGGCGUUCAGCUGAGGUCUGCAAUUCACUUGGGUAGAAGGCAACACUACACAAAUUUCAGUUCUCUACAAGUGUCUACUACUUCACAGCCAGUCUUAAAUCUUUUCAUUGGAAACUAAAAUAAAGCAGCAUUCUCGGCUUCAUCGAACAUUCAUCAAACCAGAAAACAAGCACUCUGUCCACGUCGACGUCUUGGCAAGCAACAUUCACCCUGCUGUGCAUGGCAUAAAGUCCAAAAAGGAAGUGGGUUGUUCUCAAGUAUAUCACCUGCGCGUGAUUCCCAAAGCACAGCAAUCAGACCCCCAGGGACCUCUCCUUCUCGUGGGACCUUCUCAUGGGGACCCACAGGAGGAGGCAGGAAGGCAGGAGAGCCUCACAGAGUGCACCAGGACCGUCUGAGAUCACAAACAUUUUACACGAACAAUUUACUUCCUUUACGAUAUUUCUGUGAUGUCAUGUUUGGAAUACUGUAAAGGAACAAUUAACUUCCAGACUAGAAAGCAAGCUGAAUUAUCUCACUUAAGCAAGGGCUAAGAGAGGCUCCAGAUAAGUGUGGCGAGUUCCGUGGAGUCAGUCUGGAUGGUGGAGCGCCCCAGGAGGCUCCGAAGCUGUACAUGAGCAAAGCUCAGAUGGAGUCUGCCAACAUGCACACAGUCAGAGUCCCACAACACUUAACAGAAUUAAGUCACAGGAUAAGUAUUAAUAAAACAUUAGAGAGCAACAUUCAUACAUUAAUCAAUUACAUGGAAUAAAUUAAACUAAGCAGUCACAUAACUUCUUUGCUCUUAAUUCAGGGUGUAUUCAUGUAUAAACGUAGAUCAAUGCUUUCCUAAUGGUCUCAAAAUGCUACAAAUACAAACAAAGGCUUUGCAUUCCAGCUGCUGGACAACAUGUCAAUACUGCGAAGAGUGAAAGGCUCCAUGUUCAGCAUCAGUGCACAGGGCAUGGCUCCGAGUGGUGUGUGGUUGGGAGAGGAUCCGGCGUGGGAACAGACCCUCUGUUCAGUUGGCACAAACUGGAGGAUUUUACUGUCCAUGGUACCUUUGCUGGAUCCUUUCCCAAAGACAGUGUUAUACAUAGAUGCCUUCAGGAUUAAAACCCGAGGAGACAGGGUUCUGUAGAAUACGAAGAUUACUGGGGAGCUGCCGGGAUGAACCAGGUCGCUUCAGGGACCCAGACUGGAAUGGCGCCUCUAAACAGGAAACAGAAAUCACCUGGUGAACUGGAUAACCAGAAAAUGUGUCAACUUCCCCAAAGAACCAGAAAGAGCAGACUACAUUGGUAAGUGCAGUGGAGACCCAGGAAGGAGAAGGCAGGUCCUUUGGUGGUAACUCAGUUACUAAGGCUAGAGCACCUUGCCUGGCUGCGUCUGCCAGUAGCUGAGGCCACAGCCCACAGGUGGGAAGUCUCAACAACAGAAGUGAUGAGAAGACUCAGAGAGGAGGGGAAAUCAGGAGAUUCUAGGAUGCAAAUUUUCACAGCCAAUAUUCAUAUUUAUAUUUGUACUUUGGUAAACAGGCUCAUAAAGAAGCAGAUUAAAAUAAACAAUCUGGCCAUGCAAGUGAGCAGAUGACCCUAAUGUAAACGAGGAUGCCAUUUUAGGUGAUUGGCCUUACCUGUCUCUAUGUCUGCCUGCGAGGCCUCGAUCUCCGUGGGCUCGGCCGGCAGCACGGUGACUUUGGUCCCUGUCUGCUGGAUGAACUGCUGGAGGUUGACCUGCCGCAGCUCUUUGGUCAACUGCUCUAGCUCCUGCUCCUUGUCCUGGUUGGAAAACAGCAGUUAUUCUAUGCCUGAGGCUGGGUGGGCAGGGCUGUUCUGGGGACAACCUCCUGCUAUAGCGGGGAGAUGGGGCCACAUUCAGAAGGGUUCAUUUGACACGCCUGGUUUAUGUGGGUACAGUGACAAUGCUGUCCCAUCCUCUUAGAUGUGAGGCUUCCCUUCUGCACAGCGCCACAGAUUCUUAUAAAAUAAGUGCAUAUUCUUACUCUGCCAUAAAAAUAUAUGACACGUAUAUAGUUUCUAUAUACCCAGGUGUGACAAAUCUGCUGAUCUGGUCACAAACUUCCUUCUUGUAUACUUUAUAACUGACUGCAAAUUAAUAGCAAUUUAAGAGUUCUUAGUUUUGACCAGAUGUUGGAGUUUUAUCUACUGAUAUUCAUUUUAUAACCCAAGGAAAGCAAGAUCAUCACAAAAUUCUCAGCCUGAGGCUCUUAGUCCUGUGACAGACAGGCCCGAGCUACAGAGCCAUCCCUGCGUCCUGUUAGUUAAACGUCCCCUUCUGUGGAUGUGGCACCCUGCUCACUAAGAUGCCCUUACCUGUAGCCGCUUGGUGGCCUGCCCCAGAGACCUCUCCACAGCUCUAAUGCCGUUCUCCAGCCUCAGGCUCUGCUGCCCUUGAAGGUCCAUCUCCCCCUUGACCUUUUCGAUCUUUCCUUUCACCUCCUCCUCAUUGACCUGUGCCUCCUGAACUUCCCGGUGCAGUUUUUCUGCCUGGAGACCGCUCUCCAUGGUGUGGAUCUGGGCCAGGUAGUCCUUCAGCCUGCCUUCACAGUCUGUCACCUUCUGCCGUAUCUCCUCCAGCUGAUCCUGCAGCUGCUUCUCGUUCUCUUGUUCGAUCUGUAAUUCGUUUUCCCAGAACUCUUCCUCCUCGAUCUCCACGUCGUUUCUCUUGAUCCUCUGCUCCAGGCGGACAAUCUCCUCCUCCAGGCUACAGCUGUACUUCUGCUCCCAGAACCGGAUCUCUGCCUCACUGGACUCCAGCUGCUUCUCGAUGGCCUGCAGCUUCCCCGUCUGCAGCCGGAUCAGCCUUUUCAGCUCCUCUGCUGUUGCCCUGCAGUUACUCAGCACCUUCUGCCUGAACUCAGUCUCUUUGCCUUUUCCAAAAAUGUCCGUCAGCCCUUUGGCGCCCCCUGUGAAGGUGAGAGACUUUCGCUUAGGCUCCCUCCUUCUGAUGGACUUGUCCGCCUGAGGCCGGAGCUUGGCUAAGGGGGGAAGGCUCUGUCGAUACAAAGUUCUUUCAGGAAUUCGGGCCACACUGUCCGAGGUGGGUCGCUCACUGAGAGAUGGCCCAGUCCGACGCAAGAUGAGCUGCACGUCACUAGCAUACUGCCCCCACUUGUUCAAAGACACGAUGGGGUUUUCAUGCGGUGCCAAGUGCCGCUCAGUGUCUCUCCAUUUCUCUAUCAGGGUGUACCUUCCAGUUCGACCUAGACAGAAAAGAUCGGAGAGCACUGUCAUGGCGGGACAUGCAACCAUCAGUAAUGCAGCGGAGGACAUGGCUGAAAACUGUUCUCAGUUAGCAUCAGAAUGUCCACCAGUCCAGGCCGCCUGGGGCAGCCUCAGAAGACAGCAAACCUCUCAAAGCCGUGGCAGCAUACCGUUCAGAUCUGAAUUAUAAGCAUCCUUCUGGCUUGCUUAGAAAUUCUACUUUCUAUUUCCCCCAAC